rnacentral:rRNA from 1 species
GAGUUUGAUCAUGGCUCAGAUUGAACGCUGGCGGUAGGCUUAACACAUGCAAGUCGUGCGAGAAAGUAUCUUCGGAUAUGAGUAGAGCGGCGGACGGGUGAGUAACGCGUAGGAAUCUACCUAGUAGAAGGGGAUAGCCCGGGGAAACCCGGAUUAAUACCGUAUACCUCCUUCGGGAGAAAGAAGGCCUCUCUUUGAAGCUUUCGCUACUAGAUGAGCCUGCGUAAGAUUAGCUUGUUGGUGAGGUAAAGGCUCACCAAGGCGACGAUCUUUAGCUGGUCUGAGAGGACGAUCAGCCACAUUGGGACUGAGACACGGCCCAGACUCCUACGGGAGGCAGCAGUGGGGAAUAUUGGACAAUGGGCGCAAGCCUGAUCCAGCCAUACCGCGUGUGUGAAGAAGGCCUUCGGGUUGUAAAGCACUUUAAGCAGGGAGAAAAAGUUAUAAGUUAAUACCUUAUAACCCUGAUGUUACCUGCAGAAUAAGCACCGGCUAAUUCCGUGCCAGCAGCCGCGGUAAUACGGAAGGUGCAAGCGUUAAUCGGAAUUACUGGGCGUAAAGCGCGCGUAGGUGGUUUGUUAAGUUGGAUGUGAAAGCCCUGGGCUCAACCUAGGAACUGCAUCCAAAACUAACUCACUAGAGUACGAUAGAGGGAGGUAGGAUUCAUAGUGUAGCGGUGGAAUGCGUAGAUAUUAUGAAGAAUACCAGUGGCGAAGGCGGCCUCCUGGAUCUGUACUGACACUGAGGUGCGAAAGCGUGGGUAGCGAACAGGAUUAGAUACCCUGGUAGUCCACGCCGUAAACGAUGACAACUAGCUGUUAGGAGGCUAUGUCUUUUAGUGGCGCAGCUAACGUUUUAAGUUGUCCGCCUGGGGAGUACGGCCGCAAGGCUAAAACUCAAAUGAAUUGACGGGGACCCGCACAAGUAGUGGAGCAUGUGGUUUAAUUCGAUGCAACGCGAAGAACCUUACCAGGCCUUGACAUCCUCGGAACUUUCCAGAAAUGGAUUGGUGCCUUCGGGAACCGAUGGACAGGUGCUGCAUGGCUGUCGUCAGCUCGUGUCGUGAGAUGUUGGGUUAAGUCCCGCAACGAGCGCAACCCUCACUUUUAGUUGCCAUCAUUAAGUUGGGCACUCUGAAAGAACUGCCAGUGAUAAGCUGGAGGAAGGUGGGGAUGACGUCAAGUCCUCAUGGCCCUUACGUGUUGGGCUACACACGUGCUACAAUGGCAUCUACAACAGGAAGCAAAACGGCAACGUUAAGCAAAUCCCGAAAAGAUGCCUCAGUUCGGAUUGCACUCUGCAACUCGAGUGCAUGAAGCUGGAAUUACUAGUAAUCGUGGAUCAGCGUGCCACGGUGAAUGCGUUCCCGGGUCUUGUACACACCGCCCGUCACACCAUGGGAGUUGGUUCUACCCGACGACGCUGCGCUAACCCUUCGGGGGGGCAGGCGGCCACGGUAGGAUCAGCGAGUGGGGUGAAGUCGUAACAAGGUAACC